GGCAACAGCUCAAAUUUGAAAUCUGGCUCUUUUAGAGUCCGAGUUGUAAUUUGCAGAGGGCGCUUUGGCUUUGGCAGCGGUCCAAGUUCCUUGGAACAGGACGUCACAGAGGGUGAGAAUCCCGUACGUGGUCGCUGGCUAUUGCCGUGUAAAGCCCCUUCGACGAGUCGAGUUGUUUGGGAAUGCAGCUCUAAAUGGGAGGUACAUUUCUUCUAAAGCUAAAUAUUGGCCAGAGACCGAUAGCGCACAAGUAGAGUGAUCGAAAGAUGAAAAGCACUUUGGAAAGAGAGUCAAACAGCACGUGAAAUUGUUGAAAGGGAAGCGCUUGCAGCCAGACUUGCUUACAGUUGCUCAUCCGGGUUUUUACCCGGUGCACUCUUCUGUAGGCAGGCCAGCAUCAGUUUGGGCGGUAGGAUAAAGGUCUCUGUCACGUACCUCCUUUCGGGGAGGCCUUAUAGGGGAGACGACAUACUACCAGCCUGGACUGAGGUCCGCGCAUCUGCUAGGAUGCUGGCGUAAUGGCUGUAAGCGGCCCGUCUUGAAACACGGACCAAGGAGUCUAACAUCUAUGCGAGUGUUUGGGUGUCAAGCCCGAGCGCGUAAUGAAAGUGAACGGAGGUGGGAACCCGCAAGGGUGCACCAUCGACCGAUCCUGAUGUCUUCGGAAGGAUUUGAGUAAGAGCAUGGCUGUUGGGACCCGAAAGAUGGUGAACUAUGCUUGAAUAGGGUGAAGCCAGAGGAAACUCUGGUGGAGGCUCGCAGCGGUUCUGACGUGCAAAUCGAUCGUCAAAUUUGGGCAUAGGGGCGAAAGACUAAUCGAACUAUCUAGUAGCUGGUCUGCGAGUCCCCCCUCUCAGGAACAAGCGCCUACGAGAUUGUCUGAUGACUCUCCCGCCCUAUGCCCAAUUGACGAUGAUUUGCAUUUAACCCUCCGCAGUCUCCCCCA
rnacentral:rRNA from 1 species